rnacentral:rRNA from 1 species
UCUCCUGGAAAACGGGUGGUAAUGCCGGAUGUUCCACAUGAUCGCAUGUGAUUGUGGGAAAGAUUCUAUCGGCGUGGGAUGGGGUCGCGUCCUAUCAGCUUGUUGGUGAGGUAACGGCUCACCAAGGCUUCGACGGGUAGCCGGCCUGAGAGGGCGACCGGCCACAUUGGGACUGAGAUACGGCCCAGACUCCUACGGGAGGCAGCAGUGGGGAAUAUUGCACAAUGGGCGCAAGCCUGAUGCAGCGACGCCGCGUGAGGGAUGGAGGCCUUCGGGUUGUAAACCUCUUUUGUUUGGGAGCAAGCCUUCGGGUGAGUGUACCUUUCGAAUAAGCGCCGGCUAACUACGUGCCAGCAGCCGCGGUAAUACGUAGGGCGCAAGCGUUAUCCGGAUUUAUUGGGCGUAAAGGGCUCGUAGGCGGCUCGUCGCGUCCGGUGUGAAAGUCCAUCGCUUAACGGUGGAUCUGCGCCGGGUACGGGCGGGCUGGAGUGCGGUAGGGGAGACUGGAAUUCCCGGUGUAACGGUGGAAUGUGUAGAUAUC